rnacentral:rRNA from 1 species
AACGAACGCUGGCGGCAUGCCUAACACAUGCAAGUCGAACGAAGCCUUCGGGCUUAGUGGCGCACGGGUGCGUAACGCGUGGGAAUCUGCCCUUGGGUUCGGGAUAACAGCUAGAAAUGACUGCUAAUACCGGAUGAUGUCUUCGGACCAAAGAUUUAUCGCCCAAGGAUGAGCCCGCGUAGGAUUAGGUAGUUGGUGGGGUAAUGGCCCACCAAGCCGACGAUCCUUAGCUGGUCCGAGAGGAUGAUCAGCCACACUGGGACUGAGACACGGCCCAGACUCCUACGGGAGGCAGCAGUGGGGAAUAUUGGACAAUGGGCGAAAGCCUGAUCCAGCAAUGCCGCGUGAGUGAUGAAGGCCUUAGGGUUGUAAAGCUCUUUUACCAGGGAUGAUAAUGACAGUACCUGGAGAAUAAGCUCCGGCUAACUCCGUGCCAGCCGCCGCGGUAAGAC